rnacentral:rRNA from 1 species
AUUGAACGCUGGCGGCAGGCCUAACACAUGCAAGUCGAACGGUAACAGGAAACAGCUUGCUGUUUCGCUGACGAGUGGCGGACGGGUGAGUAAUGUCUGGGAAACUGCCUGAUGGAGGGGGAUAACUACUGGAAACGGUAGCUAAUACCGCAUAGCGUCGCAAGACCGAAGAGGGGGACCUUCGGGCCUCUUGCCAUCGGAUGUGCCCAGAUGGGAUUAGCUAGUAGGUGGGGUAACGGCUCACCUAGGCGACGAUCCCUAGCUGGUCUGAGAGGAUGACCAGCCACACUGGAACUGAGACACGGUCCAGACUCCUACGGGAGGCAGCAGUGGGGAAUAUUGCACAAUGGGCGCAAGCCUGAUGCAGCCAUGCCGCGUGUAUGAAGAAGGCCUUCGGGUUGUAAAGUACUUUCAGCGGGGAGGAAGGGAGUAAAGUUAAUACCUUUACUCAUUGACGUUACCCGCAGAAGAAGCACCGGCUAACUCCGU